rnacentral:rRNA from 1 species
GCGGAAGGAUCAUUAACGUGUAAAGCGGCCGCGCCUCGCCGCCGGCCGCACAUGAUUACGCACCCCCCCGGGGGACGCGCCCCCCCUCUCGGGGCCGUCCCCCGUCGACCGCCGCCUGUCUUAAAACGCAUGUCAUUUGGGGCCCCCACGUGGGGGCCCCUUUGUAAUCCAGUACAACUUUCAACAACGGAUCUCUUGGCUUUCGCAUCGAUGAAGGACGCCGCGAAUUGCGAAACGUAAUGUGAAUUGCAGAAUUCAGUGAAUCAUCGAAUCUUUGAACGCAUCUUGCGCCCCUUGGGUUUAUUCCGAGGGGCAUGCCUGUUUGAGUGUCGCGAACCACCCUCGAACCCCGAGUCUCGCUCGGGGUCUCGGACUUGGRCGCCUGCGGCGGAUCCCGUCGCUCGUCUCUAAAUGCAUCGGUCGGCCCCGGGGCCGGAACGGACGGUGUGAUAAGGAGCCCAUCUUUUUGUGGCGCCGUCGUCUGGGCUCGGGCCGCGGAUCCUCCUCCCUCGGGAGGAGUGCCAUUCAAUGUCGUGUGACCUCAAAUCAGGUAGGACUACCCGCCGAACUUA